GCGUUAAUGGAGUAGUGGUAGCCUGGGUCGUUGCCAUUCAGAAAUUCAGGAUCACGUAGUUGUCGACCUGCGGGGGGGUUCGAUUCCCUCUUCAUACA